rnacentral:lncRNA from 1 species
CUAAUUUUCCAUGACAAUGUCAAAAAUAGAAGAAAGAUAAAUAAGAAAUAAAAUUCUUAAAUAUGAGAACUUAACCUAUUUGUGGAAGGUUCUUGUGUUGCAUCUACCAUUAGAGAAAUCCAAAAUCCUACACAAAGUAUGUUAAAAGAACCAGAGCAUGCUCCUUAAAGCUUAAGUUAUGAAAUGAUAGUGAGGAUGAGGAUGAUGAAGAUGAUGAUGAUGAUGAUGAUGAUGAUGAUGAUGACGAUGAUGAUGAUGACGAUGAUGACGACGAUGAAGAUGAUGAGGUUAAAAGAACCAGAGCAUGCUCCUUAAACCUUAAGUUAUGAAAUGAUAGUGAGGAUGAGGAUGAUGAAGACGAUGAUGAAGAUGAUGAUGAUGAUGAUGACGAUGAUGAUGACG